CCUACGGGGGGCAGCAGUGGGGAAUCUUGGACAAUGGGCGCAAGCCUGAUCCAGCUAUUCCGCGUGUGGGAAGACGGCCUUCGGGUUGUAAACCACUUUUGUAGAGAACGAAAAGUCUGUUGAUAAUACCGAUAGAUGAUGACGGUACUCUAAGAAUAAGCACCGGCUAACUACGUGCCAGCAGCCGCGGUAAUACGUAGGGUGCGAGCGUUAAUCGGAAUUACUGGGCGUAAAGGGUGUGCAGGCGGUUUUGCAAGAUGGAUGUGAAAGCCCCGGGCUUAACCUGGGAAAGCCAUACAUGACUGCAAGACUAGAGUGCGGCAGAGGGGGGUGGAAUUCCAAGUGUAGCAGUGAAAUGCGUAGAUAUUUGGAAGAACACCGAUGGCGAAGGCAGCCCCCUGGGACGCAACUGACGCUCAUACACGAAAGCGUGGGGAGCAGACAGGAUUAGAUACCCGGGUAGUC
rnacentral:rRNA from 1 species